rnacentral:rRNA from 1 species
UACGGGGGGGGCAAGCGUUGUUCGGAAUUACUGGGCGUAAAGGGCUCGUAGGUGGCCAACUAAGUCAGACGUGAAAUCCCUCGGCUUAACCGGGGAACUGCGUCUGAUACUGGAUGGCUUGAGUUUGGGAGAGGGACGCGGAAUUCCAGGUGUAGCGGUGAAAUGCGUAGAUAUCAGGAGGAACACCAGUGGCGAAGGCGCCGCUCUGGGCCGUAACUGACGCUGAGAAGCGAAAGCGUGGGGAGCAAACAGG